CAUUGAGAAGCUAAUAUAGCAUUAACCUUUUAAGUUAAAGAUUGGGAACGAAAACCUCCCCUCAAUGG
rnacentral:tRNA from 1 species